UCGAAUGGGGAGAUUCAUCGUCAGCGAUUCYGGUACGUGUGCGGCUCGCGAUGUCCGAGACUUCGGUCUCGCGGCACGCGUCCGCAUGUUUUUUAUUGCUGGAAUCGUCGGCGUGCACUUCUCCCCUAGUAGGACGUCGCGACCCGUUGGGUGUCGGUCUACGGCACGGUAGGUAGCCUGUCACGUGUGCGCUUCACGGCGUUACGCGGGGCAGACCUCCGUUCGCCCGACCGGCUGCUCGGCGGUACUCGCAAGGUAUCUGGCCGCAGACAUACGAACUGCGUCCGGCCCGUCGCAAGCGCGGCAAGUGUUUCCCGGCUGUCACGGAUCUAAUGCCGUCACCGGGCCUUGCCAGCUGUUGGUUGACGGUGUCCUAGGACUGGCUAACAAAAAAUUAUGAUACCGGUCGGCGACGCUACUGCUUUGGGUACUUUCAGGACCCGUCUUGAAACACGGACCAAGGAGUCUAACAUGUGCGCGAGUCAUUGGGAGCUAUUAAGCCUAAAGGCGC
rnacentral:rRNA from 1 species